AGAGAACUAGUCUAAUAAAGACAGCUGGUUUCGGCCCAGCAGAUUACAGGCACCCCUGUAGCUCUCUC
rnacentral:tRNA from 1 species